ensembl:snRNA U4 U4 spliceosomal RNA
GCUUUUGCGCAGUGGCAGUAUCAUAGCCAAUGAGGUUUAUCCGAGGCACAAUUAUUGCUAAUUGAAAAAAGUAUUCCCCAGAUUUUUAGGAAUAGAUUUUGUGAAUUUUUAGUAAAUGAUUCUUAAG